CUGUGUCUUGCUUCAACAAUGCUUGGACAGAACAG
rfam:TPA: Bos taurus chromosome X, whole genome shotgun sequence.